rnacentral:rRNA from 1 species
UGGGGAAUAUUGCACAAUGGGCGCAAGCCUGAUGCAGCCAUGCCGCGUAUAUGAAGAAGGCCUUCGGGUUGUAAAGUACUUUCAGCGGGGAGGAAGGCGAUAAGGUUAAUAACCUUGUCGAUUGACGUUACCAGCAGAAGAAGCACCGGCUAACUCCGUGCCAGCAGCCGCGGUAAUACGGAGGGUGCAAGCGUUAAUCGGAAUUACUGGGCGUAAAGCGCACGCAGGCGGUCUGUCAAGUCGGAUGUGAAAUCCCCGGGCUCAACCUGGGAACUGCAUUCGAAACUGGCAGGCUAGAGUCUUGUAGAGGGGGGUAGAAUUCCAGGUGUAGCGGUGAAAUGCGUAGAGAUCUGGAGGAAUACCGGUGGCGAAGGCGGCCCUCUGGACGAAGACUGACGCUCAGGUGCGAAAGCGUGGGGAGCAAACA